GACGAACGCUGGCGGCGUGCUUAACACAUGCAAGUCGAACGGAAAGGCCCUGCUUUUGUGGGGUGCUCGAGUGGCGAACGGGUGAGCAACACGUGAGUAACCUGCCCUUGACUUUGGGAUAACUUCAGGAAACUGGGGCUAAUACCGGAUAGGAGCUCCUGCUGCAUGGUGGGGGUUGGAAAGUUUCGGCGGUUGGGGAUGGACUCGCGGCUUAUCAGCUUGUUGGUGGGGUAGUGGCUUACCAAGGCUUUGACGGGUAGCCGGCCUGAGAGGGUGACCGGCCACAUUGGGACUGAGAUACGGCCCAGACUCCUACGGGAGGCAGCAGUGGGGAAUAUUGCACAAUGGGCGGAAGCCUGAUGCAGCAACGCCGCGUGCGGGAUGACGGCCUUCGGGUUGUAAACCGCUUUCGCCUGUGACAAAGCGUGAGUGACGGUAAUGGGUAAAGAAGCACCGGCUAACUACGUG
rnacentral:rRNA from 1 species